rnacentral:rRNA from 1 species
AUGCAGUCGAACGAUGAUGCCCAGCUUGCUGGGCGGAUUAGUGGCGAACGGGCUGAGAAGGCGUGAGUAACCUGCCCUUGACUCUGGGAUAAGCCUGGGAAACUGGGUCUAAUACUGGAUACUACCUCUUGCCGCAUGGUGGGUGGUGGAAAGGGUUUUACUGGUUUUGGAUGGGCUCACGGCCUAUCAGCUUGUUGGUGGGGUAAUGGCUCACCAAGGCGACGACGGGUAGCCGGCCUGAGAGGGUGACCGGCCACACUGGGACUGAGACACGGCCCAGACUCCUACGGGAGGCAGCAGUGGGGAAUAUUGCACAAUGGGCGGAAGCCUGAUGCAGCGACGCCGCGUGAGGGAUGACGGCCUUCGGGUUGUAAACCUCUUUCAGUAGGGAAGAAGCGAGAGUGACGGUACCUGCAGAAGAAGCGCCGGCUAACUACGUGCCAGCAGCCGCGGUAAUACGUAGGGCGCAAGCGUUGUCCGGAAUUAUUGGGCGUAAAGAGCUCGUAGGCGGUUUGUCGCGUCUGCUGUGAAAGCCCGGGGCUCAACCCCGGGUCUGCAGUGGGUACGGGCAGACUAGAGUGCAGUAGGGGAGACUGGAAUUCCUGGUGUAGCGGGUGAAAUGCGCAGAUAUCAGGAGGAACACCGAUGGCGAAGGCAGGUCUCUGGGCUGUUUACUGACGCUGAGGAAGCGAAAGCAUGGGGAGCGAACAGGAUUAGAUACCCUGGUAGUCCAUGCCGUAACGUUGGGCACUAGGUGGUUGGGGGACAUUCCCACGUUUUCCGCCGCCGUACCUAACGCAAUUAAGUGCC